AGCGAACGCUGGCGGCAGGCUUAACACAUGCAAGUCGAGCGGGCACUUCGGUGUCAGCGGCAGACGGGUGAGUAACACGUGGGAACGUACCCUUCGGUUCGGAAUAACGCUGGGAAACUAGCGCUAAUACCGGAUACGCCCUUUUGGGGAAAGGUUUACUGCCGAAGGAUCGGCCCGCGUCUGAUUAGCUAGUUGGUGGGGUAAUGGCCUACCAAGGCGACGAUCAGUAGCUGGUCUGAGAGGAUGAUCAGCCACACUGGGACUGAGACACGGCCCAGACUCCUACGGGAGGCAGCAGUGGGGAAUAUUGGACAAUGGGCGCAAGCCUGAUCCAGCCAUGCCGCGUGAGUGAUGAAGGCCUUAGGGUUGUAAAGCUCUUUUGUCCGGGACGAUAAUGACGGCACCGGAAGAAUAAGCCCCGGCUAACUUCGU
rnacentral:rRNA from 1 species